GACGAACGCUGGCGGCGUGCUUAACACAUGCAAGUCGAACGGAAAGGCCCUGCUUUUGUGGGGUGCUCGAGUGGCGAACGGGUGAGUAACACGUGAGUAACCUGCCCUUGACUUUGGGAUAACUUCAGGAAACUGGGGCUAAUACCGGAUAGGAGCUCCUGCUGCAUGGUGGGGGGUGGAACGUUUCGGCGGUUGGGGAUGGACUCGCGGCUUAUCAGCUUGUUGGUGGGGUAGUGGCUUACCAAGGCUUUGACGGGUAGCCGGCCUGAGAGGGUGACCGGCCACAUUGGGACUGGGAUACGGCCCAGACGCCAACGGGAGGCAGCAGUGGGGAAUAUUGCACAAUGGGCGGAAGCCGGAUGCAGCAACGCCGCGUGCGGGAUGACGGCCUUCGGGUUGUAAACCGCUUUCGCCUGUGACGAAGCGUGAGUGACGGUAAUGGGUAAAGAAGCACGGGCUAACUACGU
rnacentral:rRNA from 1 species